GUUGUUUUAGUCGUUCAGAAAACCCUAAAACUAAAAAUCCCCUCUUUCGGUGCCGCUCACUCUUCUUACUUCUCGGACCGGCGUCCAUCCUCUAUGCCGCGACGACGGAGCUAGACUACUCGCCAUUGGCGCUCAUCCUCUUUUCUUUCUCGCUUUUCCUCUUCCUUAUUUGCCGAUUUCUCUUGCUCGGCGUUUCUCGACAGCCUCCUUCAUCGUUGCCUGGCCCUCGUGCCGCCGUGAUGCCUCUAUUCUAGCCCCUGCUUCCCAUUCGCGUUAGGAUUCCCGUUCAUCGUCCUCUGUUCUCGCGCGGGGCUGCCUGGUAUCCUCUGUUCUCGUGCUGUGGUGCUGUCUAGUGCUGCAUUUUGCGUUCUUCGUGCUACAAUUUGCAUUUUGCUUCGCUUCUGUACUGCCUAGUUAUUUUUGUUAAUUUUCUGUUAGUUUUUAUUAAUUUUUGUUAA
rnacentral:lncRNA from 1 species